UUAAUGACUCUCGGCAACGGAUAUCUCGGCUCUCGCAUCGAUGAAGAACGUAGCGAAAUGCGAUACUUGGUGUGAAUUGCAGAAUCCCGUGAACCAUCGAGUUUUUGAACGCAAGUUGCGCCCGAAGCCAUUCGGUUGAGGGCACGUCUGCCUGGGCGUCACGU
rnacentral:rRNA from 3 species